GAUGAACGCUGGCGGCGUGCCUAAUACAUGCAAGUCGAGCGAACGGACGAGAAGCUUGCUUUUCUGAUGUUAGCGGCGGACGGGUGAGUAACACGUGGAUAACCUACCUAUAAGACUGGGAUAACUUCGGGAAACCGGAGCUAAUACCGGAUAAUAUUUUGAACCGCAUGGUUCAAAAGUGAAAGACGGUCUUGCUGUCACUUAUAGAUGGAUCCGAGCUGCAUUAGCUAGUUGGUAAGGUAACGGCUUACCAAGGCAACGAUGCAUAGCCGACCUGAGAGGGUGAUCGGCCACACUGGAACUGAGACACGGUCCAGACUCCUACGGGAGGCAGCAGUAGGGAAUCUUCCGCAAUGGGCGAAAGCCUGACGGAGCAACGCCGCGUGAGUGAUGAAGGUCUUCGGAUCGUAAAACUCUGUUAUUAGGGAAGAACAUAUGUGUAAGUAACUGUGCACAUCUUGACGGUACCUAAUCAGAAAGCCACGGCUAACUACGUG
rnacentral:rRNA from 1 species